rnacentral:rRNA from 1 species
UUGAGCGAUUACUUCGGUAAGAGCGGCGGACGGGUGAGUAACGCGUGGGUAACCUACCCUGUACACACGGAUAACAUACCGAAAGGUAUGCUAAUACGGGAUAAUAUAUUUGAGAGGCAUCUCUUGAAUAUCAAAGGUGAGCCAGUACAGGAUGGACCCGCGUCUGAUUAGCUAGUUGGUAAGGUAACGGCUUACCAAGGCGACGAUCAGUAGCCGACCUGAGAGGGUGAUCGGCCACAUUGGAACUGAGACACGGUCCAAACUCCUACGGGAGGCAGCAGUGGGGAAUAUUGCACAAUGGGCGAAAGCCUGAUGCAGCAACGCCGCGUGAGUGAUGAAGGCCUUCGGGUCGUAAAACUCUGUCCUCAAGGAAGAUAAUGACGGUACUUGAGGAGGAAGCCCCGGCUAACUACGUGCCAGCAGCCGCGGUAAUACGUAGGGGGCUAGCGUUAUCCGGAUUUACUGGGCGUAAA